AGAGGAAGGGUGCUGCUCUAAGUACAAGCUGGGCGGUGCAGAUCUGUGUGGGAUGGUGACCGUGGUGACAGGAGCUGGCAUCACUCGAAUGUCACAGGUGACCCCUGUGAAAGGACCGUUAGACUAGGAUCUCGACCUGCAGGUGGAGAGACACUGCAUAGGGAGAUCAGUAUUUGGAGAGACUCCUGAUUCAGAAGUUGAAGUGGCUGAGGUCAGAGAGCCAUCGGUGACCUGGUGCGUGUUCUCCAAGGCCAACAUUAUGACCACCAUGAAGAGCUCGAACUGCAGGUUCUCUUUGUGCCGCUCUUGAGAAGAACUUCAAGUUGGGGUUGGAGUUGACCCAGGCCCCUCUGCACCCAGGGGGAUAGAACUUGAAGCUGGUCUUGGUGCUGUAGCUGAGCUCCAGCAGAGAAUGCUUCCAUGAGGGACCGGUGAACUCCUGCAGGCUGCUGAAGGGCUCUCACUUUCUGCUCGCCAUUUGCCCAUUUUAUAUCAAGGUGGUCAGCAACAGAAAGUAGGGGAACCAUGCUUUGUAUAAGUAGUUCCAAGAACAUUCAGCAAGUACAUGCGAAGUGCCAGGAUUCUGAUAACCGGAAAGUCUUGUGAAAUUGGGAAUAAAAAUAAGGAAGGUGGUGUCCCAGAUGCCAACCUUGGGACCUUUACUGGGAGAGGCUAGGAAUGUCUAACACAUGACAGAUGUGUCAUUGAUCAGCUGCUAAGGUGACAUCUCCAUUAUUGGAUCUUUGUAAGGGAUUCUGAGCUGGAGUACACUGGAUUGUUCUGUUUCUCAGUACUUAAGCCCCAUGGGUCAGACACUGCUGAGGCCCACUUUACAGAUUGAUAAGUGGAGUCUCACAGAGGUCAGUUACAAGGACAUGCAGCUGGGAUGAGGCUGUUCCUCUGGAGAGCUGUGCAGCUUCCCCUGAGGCGACUGAGCUCUUAGGGUGGAACACCAUGAGGAGAGAGACUAGAGAAAGUCCACACAUGGAAUGGUCAGCUGUGGGGAGUGAGGGAAGACCUAAGUGGAUAAAAUCCAGAGUGGAUGUGUGCUGUUGUCAUGGGCACCACCACGUCGAGGACCCUGAUAUCUGAGACCCAUGGGAAAUAUUAAAACCACCAUCAGGCUAGGUUGUAGGCAAAGUCUUCCCUUCAGUGUAUGCAAAAAACGAGCACCCUAGCUUCUUCUGCCUCCCAGGUACUUACAGCCCGAAGACUGCUCACCAACAGAGACUGCCCCUACAGCUUAGCUGACCCCGCCUUCCUGUUCAGCUCUACCAAUGACCCAGUGUCCCCAUUCAACUGUUCUAAUAAUCAUGCUGAGCUUCCGGGGUGCCUCACGUCUUCAUCGAGGAGCCCCGAACACCCAGUGCCAAUAUUUCUGCCUCUGUAUGUUUGUCUUUUCUUUAUUUCCUCAGUAACCCAGGCAAGCAAAUCCCUGGAGCUGUACUGGAGAAGGCGGAUGCGUCUGCCAGAAGCUGACCUAGAUAGAUGCUCUAGAGCCUGACUUGGCCUGCACCACCCACGGGGGACAUCUGGAUAUAUGUGUGCUCACUGCCCUCAGCUCAUCUUCCUUGUCUCCUGUGCUCUGCCAAGUCUCUUAGGAGCAUUCCUUUGGCCCCUGCUUCCUCGAUUUGCACAAGUCUCUCUCAUUUCAGAUCCCUUUCACACACCUGCCUCUCAUGUGUCAUUCUGUGUGCAUAGGUCUCACCUGUUGUAAAUAGGCCUUUCUUUAAGCUUGCUUACUGCUUUAAGACAACUUUUCUAUCAUUUUCCCUUUCUUCCAAAGGGUCCUUCUGGAGCUGGAGCUGGAGCUGGCUCAGUGGGUAAAGAUGCUGAAACCAAGUCUAGCUAACUGUGUUUGACCCCCCGAAACCCACAUGGUGGAUGGAGGGAGCUGACUCUAAGCUGCCUUCUGACCUUCACAUGCGCACCGUGUAGCAUAUCCUCUGUUGCUGCACACUUACAAUAAUAAAUAAAUAACAAAUAUAAAGAAUUUCAAAAGA
rnacentral:lncRNA from 1 species